GAUGAACGCUGGCGGCGUGCCUAAUACAUGCAAGUCGAGCGAACGGACGAGAAGCUUGCUUCUCUGAUGUUAGCGGCGGACGGGUGAGUAACACGUGGAUAACCUACCUAUAAGACUGGGAUAACUUCGGGAAACCGGAGCUAAUACCGGAUAAUAUUUUGAACCGCAUGGUUCAAAAGUGAAAGACGGUCUUGCUGUCACUUAUAGAUGGAUCCGCGCUGCAUUAGCUAGUUGGUAAGGUAACGGCUUACCAAGGCAACGAUGCAUAGCCGACCUGAGAGGGUGAUCGGCCACACUGGAACUGAGACACGGUCCAGACUCCUACGGGAGGCCGCAGUAGGGAAUCUUCCGCAAUGGGCGAAAGCCUGACGGAGCAACGCCGCGUGAGUGAUGAAGGUCUUCGGAUCGUAAAACUCUGUUAUUAGGGAAGAACAUAUGUGUAAGUAACUGUGCACAUCUUGACGGUACCUAAUCAGAAAGCCACGGCUAACUACGUG
rnacentral:rRNA from 1 species